rnacentral:rRNA from 1 species
AUUGAACGCUGGCGGCAGGCCUAACACAUGCAAGUCGAGCGGAUGAAGGGAGCUUGCUCCUGGAUUCAGCGGCGGACGGGUGAGUAAUGCCUAGGAAUCUGCCUGGUAGUGGGGGAUAACGUCCGGAAACGGGCGCUAAUACCGCAUACGUCCUGAGGGAGAAAGUGGGGGAUCUUCGGACCUCACGCUAUCAGAUGAGCCUAGGUCGGAUUAGCUAGUUGGUGGGGUAAAGGCCUACCAAGGCGACGAUCCGUAACUGGUCUGAGAGGAUGAUCAGUCACACUGGAACUGAGACACGGUCCAGACUCCUACGGGAGGCAGCAGUGGGGAAUAUUGGACAAUGGGCGAAAGCCUGAUCCAGCCAUGCCGCGUGUGUGAAGAAGGUCUUCGGAUUGUAAAGCACUUUAAGUUGGGAGGAAGGGCAGUAAGUUAAUACCUUGCUGUUUUGACGUUACCAACAGAAUAAGCCCCGGCUAACUUCGUG